rnacentral:rRNA from 1 species
GUGGGGAAUAUUGGACAAUGGGCGCAAGCCUGAUCCAGCCAUGCCGCGUGAGUGAUGAAGGCCUUAGGGUUGUAAAGCUCUUUUGUCCGGGAAGAUAAUGACUGUACCGGAAGAAUAAGCCCCGGCUAACUUCGUGCCAGCAGCCGCGGUAAUACGAAGGGGGCUAGCGUUGCUCGGAAUCACUGGGCGUAAAGGGCGCGUAGGCGGACUCUUAAGUCGGAGGUGAAAGCCCAGGGCUCAACCCUGGAAUAGCCUUCGAUACUGGGAGUCUUGAGUUCGGAAGAGGUUGGUGGAAUUGCGAGUGUAGAGGUGAAAUUCGUAGAUAUUCGCAAGAACACCAGUGGCGAAGGCGGCCAACUGGUCCGAUACUGACGCUGAGGCGCGAAAGCGUGGGGAGCAAACAGGAUUAGAUACCCGUGUAGUCC